GCGGGGAUAGCUCAGUUGGGAGAGCGUCAGACUGAAGAUCUCAAGGUCACGUGUUCGAUCAAUAUCUUUUUGCA
rnacentral:tRNA from 1 species